UACACUCCUUUAUCUCAAAUCCUCUCAAGAACCAAACCCUAAGGCCUCAACCUAAGAUUCAAGAUCCCUCAAAAUUUCACCAUUAAAUUCCAAAAUUGAUUCAAGAAUUAGAAUUCCCAAACUAAGAUCUUCAAGAAUCAUCCAUCAAAAGCACAAAUAGAGUCCCAAAAGCAAAUGUUCAUCCAAAGUUCAUAAUCUAAGGUACGUGGGGUUUAUCCUAAAAACUACAUGGACUUGUAAACACUAGAACAUGAUUUAAAG
rnacentral:lncRNA from 1 species